CACGCUAGCAUGCCGGGCUGCUGUGCCUACGGUUGCCGCAACCGUACGACUGAUGGAAAGAAGUUCUUUUCUAUUCCUCGCGGUGAUGAUAACAUCAGCAGACGGAAGAUAUGGCUCCACAGAAUCGGGCGCAAGGAUUUCGUGCCCACUGGAAAUACCCGGCUAUGCGAGAUUCAGUUCUUUGGAUGAUGGUCGAUCCCUAGGCCAGCUGCUUCAAGGCCUAUGAAUAUGCACCCGACUUUAACGAGACAACAAGCCAGCGGGUGAAAAAGCAUCAGCGGGCGACGACAAUGUUGACACGUCUUCAGGCUUUGCAGAAAGGGCACACCGUACGUGUCAAGGGAGACUCAUGGAAAACCAAAGGAAGAGUAAUCAGCGGCGCACGGCCUAGGUCCUACGUGGUAAAGACAGAAAAGGACAGUGUGAUUCGACGAAACCAACAGCAUCUGUUGGCAACGAGAGAGCCAUUUAUUAGUACUUCUGAGGACGAUGCAUCCGAUGAAGCAUCUGACAAUGAGGACCCUAGCCGAGGUCAAAUGCCACAGGCAGGAACGAACAUGGCAGCCCAGGGGCUUAGAAGAUCUACGCGAGACAGAAAGCCCCUGGAAUAGCUAGACAAAAAGCCCCCGUAUGGUGAUAACUUCGUGCGGCGCUCGUAACGAGUUACCACUCAUCCAAUUUUUAUUGUUUUGUUUUGUGUUUAAACUAUUCCAAAUGAAUCAAGGUGUAUAAAUAUGGCAAUCAAAACCUGUGAGGUUGCCCUCGAUGCCGGCACUUAUCGCCGUGCACACUCUACAGUCUUCAACACUCUUUUUCUUACUACCUUUAAAUACAAGCACUCAAUAAACGAAGCAUGUUUUUUUACCGCUCAGAA